rnacentral:rRNA from 1 species
GCCCAGCGCUAAAUCCUCUAGUUUGUAGCUAGUUGGAAAUGUAGCGUAUAGGUGUGGCCUACAUUCGAAAAUCGUUGACGACGCAAAACCCAAAGUCUACCUUGAACGGGGCUAGGAUCCAUAGAAGGUGUUAGACCUGUACGGGUUGCGUUCCGUCCACGAUCGGUCAUACUUUAGAGUCGGGUUGCCUGAGAUCGCAGCCCAAAUCGGGUGGUAGACUUCAUCUAAGGCUAAAUACGGCCACGAGACCGAUAGCAAACAAGUACCGUGAGGGAAAGUUGCAAAGUACUUUGAAGAGAGAGUUCAAGAGGGCGUGAAACCGCUGAGAAUGAAGCGGAUAGAGUCGACGAAACUUAAUCAGUAUUCAGCCGAUACGCUCGAGCGGUAUCGUAUACGUGCGUUACAUCCGACCGUCAAAAGUUGCGCGUGUUUCGUCUUACGUAUGCGCAUUUUUACUACUGUUUGGCGUUAAUUUCGGUGCAUUUAUUGGUUGUAUGCGUUGAGAGCUUCGUAAUACAGGCGCACGAAGACGCUCAAUAUGCAGAGGCUUGUCGUGUGAAAUAUCUCGACAAGAGACCUAAUAUGAGCGGUUUUUUUCCGCGUGUCGCUUAUGAAGUUUGCGUUUUUCUUUUUUUCGCGCACAACUGAACACCGUACGUGUAUUUUUUCACUUUCACGAGUGGAAAAAGAUGCGUUCGUCUAAGUGUUCGACGCGCUAAUCGUUAAUACGUGGGAUACGCUAGAUUAGAUGUGUGUUGUUUCACACAUUUCGUCUGACGUGUUUUUUCGUCAUAACGGUGCAAAAAAAUAUUGGCGCUAAAAAAAUUGAGUUGUGUGUCUCGACGUGAACGUCGAUCACCUAUCCGACCCGUCUUGAAACACGGACCAAGGAGUCUAGCGUAUACGCGAGUCAUUGGGUGUGCGAAUGCCUAAAGGCGUAAUGAAAGUGAAUGUCGCGAUUAGCGCGACUAUUAUGCGAUUUGCAAUGUGUUUUCUUUGAUUUCACAUUCUUAAUUCAUUGCAAAGCAGCAUAGUCCCGUCUACGUUACAUUGUAAUGAGGCGGAGAAUGAGCGUAUGCGCUGGGACCCGAAAGAUGGUGAACUAUGCCUGAGCAGGACGAAGCCAGAGGAAACUCUGGUGGAGGUCUCGAAGCGGUUCUGACGUGCAAAUCGAUCGUCUGA